rnacentral:rRNA from 1 species
AUUGAACGCUGGCGGCAGGCCUAACACAUGCAAGUCGAGCGGAUGAAGGGAGCUUGCUCCUGGAUUCAGCGGCGGACGGGUGAGUAAUGCCUAGGAAUCUGCCUGGUAGUGGGGGAUAACGUCCGGAAAAGGGCGCUAAUACCGCAUACGUCCUGCGGGAGAAAGUGGUGGAUCUUCGGACCUCACGCUAUCAGAUGAGCCUAGGUCGGAUUAGCUAGUUGGUGGGGUAAAGGCCUACCAAGGCGACGAUCCGUAACUGGACUGAGAGGAUGAUCAGUCACACGGGAGCGGAGACGCCGUCCAGACUACUGCGGGAGGCGGCAGUGGGGAAUAGUAGGCAGUAGGCGAAAGCCUGAUCCAACCAUGCCGCGUGUGUGGAGAAGGUCUUCGGAUUGUAAAGCACGUUAAGUGGUGAUGAAGGGCAGUAAGUUAAUACCUUGCUGUUUUGACGUUACCAACAGAAUAAGCACCGGCUAACUUCGUG